GCGGGUGUAGCUCAGAGGUAGAGCACAACCUUGCCAAGGUUGGGGUCGAGGGUUCGAUUCCCUUCGCCCGCUCCA
rnacentral:tRNA from 1 species